GUGGUGUCCACCGUACAGGAAGGCAUCAUCUACUAUUGUUCCCGGAUUGAGGAUUUUCUGUUGAAAUACCAGGGCGUUCCUCGCUUUCCAAAUCAGCCACAGUCUACCUGCGAGGCCCUCACGAGAGGAUGGUUCUGAGGCUCUGUCGCACAGGAUGAAUAGGUGUUCCGUAGUUUCUGGGGACUUUCGGCAAAUUGGGCAAAACGAGUCAGGGAUGUCGCCUUUUAGCACUACUACGUCAUCAACUGACCAUAGAUCCCCCAGUUCCUUACACAGGGCAGCCAAGCGAGCAUCAUAGACUGCCUCUUUUUCCAUCGCAACUGUUGGGAGCCAAGGAGGACUA